UUCUAACAGAUGUGAUCUUCUGGCCACAGGGACCUGGAUGCACAAUGUCCCCCAACAAUUUUAAUUUCUGAAUAUCAUAAGCGUAUAUUCCCACUAAUAAAUAAUCAUCACUCUGUGAAGGAACAAACGCCAAGGUGUGCGGUGUGACGACCAGGUACUUCUGAGCAGAAAGGACGAGGGGAUGUACCCUCCCGAGGCCUGUGCUGUGUUCCAUCUAGGUGUGCUAAUUGUGGUAUUUCUAAAUGCAGGAGGCCAUGAGGAAAGAACAUUAGUCACAGUUCAAGGUGCACAGCGAUGUUUAGGAGUUUGCUAUUUGGUAGACGUUCAGUUUCUUGUACAUCAGGUAUUAUACUCAGUCAGGUAAGAAGGACAGCAACAUGUUGUUUCCUGGGACAGUGUAAAGCACGCAGAGUGACUGGAAGAGUGACCUGUCUCUCCUUCCCCCGGGUUCUUCAAGCAGGGGAUUUGUGUCCUUGUCACCUGGGCUGUGAAUGGUGCUUUGUGACCGAAGGCUAGUGAGUGUCAGUGUCACAGGGAGUGAUAUCACAGGCAGUGGUGACAUCACAGGUAGAUGCAACAAGAGUGCAGGCUGUGGCCCAGUACUGCCUGGGAGGAAGUGAACCAUCAUAGAAUACUGCAGACUUGGGGAAUAUUCUAGAGAGUUUGAGGUCUCAAGUGGAGCUUCCAGAAGCCUCCUCACAUUCCUCAGCCAGUGUCCUGUCUCAUGUCCCCUUCCUACUGCCUGCCAUAUUGGCCUCUAGAUUUGGAGGUAGCCAGGAGGUCAUCCUGCUGGGAGCUGACUAGCUGGUUCUCAUCUGUGUGGUGUUAUGGAAGAGGGUGUUUCCAGAGAGCCGGGCCAUCAUGUUCCUGUGUCUCUCGUAGGCCUUCAGGCUGUGCAGGCAUCCAGGAGGGAUGGAAGACACACCAGGUGAACAGACUUAAACUGUUUUCUACAUCAGAGUGGAAUUUUCCCCCCAAAUCACCACAGGGCUAUGCUACAAGGGACUUUAAUAGUGCAGCUCUUUUGCAAAUGAGAAGAUGACAGAGAUGGAGGGGGAGGAGGCGAAGGGGAUGUCGGCAGAAUUAAGACGCGUUACGUGUGUACCAUCGCCUCACGAUGGAUGAAACCACUGAGCACAGCAAAUAUGCAGUCAUGAAAAGGAAAGAUUUAAAAAAGAUCCAUGUUCUGUGGAAAAUGAAAAACACAGCAUACAAAUAAGUAAAGCAUCACU